GAGUGAGUCUUUAUUGAGUUUCAGAACUUUCCUCUCUGAUUUUCUGAUUAUUUUCUCAAUUGGGCUUAUUUCUUACCAAUUUCCUUUGAGAUUUAUGCAUGUGUGUUUGUUAAUGCUCUGUUUCUUCGUUUUUACAGGAAAUGGAAUUGCUCUCUUCCUCUUCUUGGCAACCAUGUAUGCCCUCUCUCUCUCUCAAAUUCUUUCAUUAGGGGUCUAAGGUGAUGCCUUUUUGCCUAAAAUAUCAUUUUGUUAAAUGGCUUAUGAUAUUUUGAUUCUCUGCACAUUCUGCGUAGUUCAAAAAGCAAAAUCUCUCUCUCUCUCUCUCUCUCUCUCUCUCUCUCUCUUUUCCUUUUUGUGGCUAAAGAUCAUGUCUUUUGUGUCAUAAAUUUGUUUUUGUUACAUGGGGUUCUGUAUAUCUUUUGGAUAAUCAAAAAGCUUGAAUGUUUACUAGGUUUCUUUAAAUUUCUUUGAAUUCUACCUUGUGAUUUUGGUUUAGAAAUGUGUAGAAUUACAUUUAUGAGGAUCAUAAGGAAGAGAAGCACAUAUCAGUUCUUAGGCAUUCCAUACGUAAUGACUAUGCUUAACUGCCUACUCCCACUUGGAAUGCUGCUUUGCCUCUCUCUCUCUCUCUCUCUCCCCCCCUUCUGCUGUGUAUUGCCUAAUUAGUUAUUUACAUUUGUUUAUUUGUCUCUGUAAAGCUUUCAUGCUUGGAUUUUAAAUGUAUGAUUCAAUUAGAAACCUUUAUAAUGUUGAUGUUAUAGAACAUUCAACAGAUAUAUAUUCAACAUUAGGUAGCUCUGGCAAAAUCAUAUAGACUAAGAUUUGGUAAUAUAUGGAGGUGAGAGUGAAUCUGCCUUGCUUGCCAUGAUAUAGGCUUGCAAUGAUGGCUUUCUCUUUGUAGUACUACAUUCUACUCUUACAUGCUAACAUCAGAAAGCAGACUAAGAUAGAUCCAAACCCAAUUUUAUUAAUUAAAGUUAACGGAAAGAAAAUGAUUUAUGCAUGCCUUUGUUUAUUUGUCACUUGAUUUUGGUUUAGGUUGACCAUAGCUAAAACAUCCAAGACUUGCCUAACACCUAAUUUGACGAAGACCGUAUCCUUUUUAGCCUUUAGGUGUGUGUUUGCUAGCUAGAUGGGUGGUGGGUGAGUCUUGGAUGUUAUCUUGGAUGUCUUGAUUAUUUUGGUGGGCGAGUCUUGGAUGUUUUGGUUCUGUCUUCUUCAACUCUUAUAUCUUCCCUUUUUCUGAAUUUUCUUUAUUUCUUAUCCUUUAAACUUUGUAUUUUUUUUUAAAUAUAUAUAUUUUUUGGUGAUGCAGAUAGAUGAACAUGUUCAAGGGGAAAUCAUGAACCACAGAUCACUGCAUCUGAAUAUUGUUUGAUUCCAAGAGGUCAGUGAUCGUAAACUUUUUCAUUUUGUAUUUUAAGAAUGAAUUUGGCAAGUUGUGUUUGAAUUUUGUAUAAGUAUCUGCUGAGGGUGGGUGGAUGAAGACAGAACACACUAAAUUUGGCCUCUGGUGUGCUUAAACUGGUACGGGGGAUGGUUAGAACUUUGAGCGCGGAAUGCAGUAGGACUAAAAGGAAAUGCCCUACCCACCGGGGCAAUCCACCACUUGCAGAAUUGUUGUCAAAAUAACUCUGCUAAAAAUAUGAUCUAUACUUCCUGCACUUUGUUUUACUGUGAAGUUGAAAUAGUCUUUAGAGUGGCUUAUUUGUGAUAAUCGAUAAAUAGGUUUGUGUUUAAGACUUGAGAGUAGUGCGGUGUCUUUCUUGCUGGUUCUGCUCACACCACCUCAUCUAGCCAUUGUGAUGGAGUACACGGCUGGGUGAGAACUCUUCGAGAGAAUAUGCAGUGCUAGCAGAUUUAGUGAGGAUGAGAUAAAGUAGUUUCAAAUGCAGAGAAAAUUUCAUUGGAAAUGAUUUUAGUGUAGAGUCUCAAAUAUGGGAUCUCUGAAUGUCCCCUGAAAUGGAAUCCAUCUCGAUUUUCGUCUAGUUUCAGAUAGGGAAAGUUAGGUCUGAAGCAUUUUUACAUAAAUAGUCAGUCAUAAUAUAACUAAAACUUACAUACUUUUUCAAUUUAAUUGUUGUUUUGCAUCAGGCAAGGUUUUUCAUCCAGCAGUUGAUAUCAAGAGUUAGUUGCUGUCAUUUGAUGGUAUGUAAAUCCUAUAAAUUCGGAUUAAAAUUAAAGCAACUAUAGAACAAAAACCUCAAGAAAUCAACGCGAGUUUACCUGUAUUUGAUCAUUUGUGGGAAAAUCAACACAUCGCCGUCGGAAAACUCAGUUCCUUCGCGUCCUUCAAUUACUGUCAACAACGUCUAUCAAAAACCAAGAAAAAAGUGAGUAAUGGAGUCGGCUCAACACCAGAACUCAGUAGCUCCAGGAAAUAAGAAACGGUAAGAAAAAGCAAUCAGAAACCCCGACGAAUUGAGCUGG
rnacentral:lncRNA from 1 species